GCCGCCUUAGCUCAGUUGGCAGAGCUCCUGUCUUGUAAACAGGUGGUCGUCGGUUCGAUUCCGACAGGCGGCCCA
rnacentral:tRNA from 1 species